rnacentral:lncRNA from 1 species
AAAUGCAUCCAUUAAGGCUGCACAGACGGGCCUAACUACGGUUUCGAAUCUGGACUCAUCAUGGACUCCUCCUCUGAGUCCCAGACAGAACCUGAGAAAACUCUGCACAAUGCAGAGUCCAGAGAGCAUCAUGCCGCCUCGGCUGCCGUAGCGAGUGGUGAUGAGCCCGGCCUUCUGACCCCAGGCAGGAUGAGCCAGCGGCAGGUUAAGGAGAAGGACAAGGAGAGGGAGAAGGAGGCAGGCCUCCAAACCCCCAGCAGGGAGCACAUGGCAUCCCCCUCUGCUCUGAGCCCUGGGGUCAGCUACAGCCACGAGCCGAGCUGAAGCUCUGCUCUGGGUGAUGCAUGCAGAGCUUCACAUCCUCUGCAGCAACUGUUCAUUAAUAUUUAUUAUUACUAAGUACCGUAUUUUCACGACCAUAGGGCGCACUGGGUUAUAAGGCGCAGUCUCAGUCAUGGGUGAUUUUUCAGUAUUUGACACAAAGGCGCAACGGGUGUUAGAGCGCAGGAAUGUUAAAAUAAAAAUGCUAGUGUUGAAACUUUCCUGUGAUAAGUCUAUGAAUCUACUACUGUGACAUUCCUUCGAUGAUGUUUCUGACCGCAGGGGAGAUCCUUUCCAGGGCCGACGGCGGAUCUUCCUUCGGGGUUCAGACCCUCGGAGCCUUCAGAGCGGGUUAAUAAAAGAACCAGUCUCCGUUCUUUUAGAGGAAACGUUUUUUAUUACUGUUCUCCGUGACUGAUUAACACAAAUGGAAUGGGUGCCCAUGCACACACUCCGGGUCUGUCUCGGAUUGUGUUCCAGUCUUGUUGCCGUGCGGCUCCUAAUGAAUGAUGCUGGCUUUUCUGCACUUCAAAAACAGUGCAAACAGACACGUUAGCCCAAUCUUACAAUCUAUUCACAAACUGUGGUGUAACUCGCCUGGCGCUGCCUCCCACAACAAUAAAAGCUUACUUUCCCUGCCCCUACUGUGUUACAGCGACUCAAUGGGAUAUUGAAAGUCUGCUGCGCCUUGUCCAUGUUGGUGAUGAGGCUGGAGGCGUUUGUCGGCAAUCUUUUUACUGCAGUAUGAGCGGAAGAUGAACAGCUUUUCAUUGCAAUCCGCUAGAAGUCCCUGCAGCACCAUAUAUAUUGAAUGGUGACUGCGGAGAAGCUUUUCUAAGAUGAUCGCUGAUCGUUAAUCCAUCGCUCGAUCUGAUCGUUGAUCAUUAAUCCAUUGGUCAGUCACCUUUUUUCCACGGAAACUCAGCUGCGUCAUCUUGACUGUUGUGUUCGUUUUCUAGCUUCCCCCACUUGUGAACCAUGGAUUCUUUCAUCUUGAAUUCUCCCGCAGCUGCUCCCAUGUUCCUCUGCGUAGCUGAUAGCUGGCAGUUUAAACUGUGCUCCAGCCAUGUUGUGAACGGUGUUGUUCACGCCCACACUUCCCUCCCCCGUUCUCAUGCCGUCUUCUUCUAUGCCACACAAAAACACAUUAGGCGCACUGCCUCAUAGAGUGCCCCCUACAGUUUGGAGAAAAUUUAAGACUUUUAGCCUUAUGGUAAUGAAAAUACGGUAAUCGAAUGGACUGGUCCUGACUUAGCACGUGUAAGCUAUGCUCUCUGAAUGUGCCUGAAGUCUAAACGUCCCAGAUCACCUACAAACUACAGUUUGACAGUCACAUCCUGGAAUGGCAGAGAUCUUUUCCAGACUAUUCAGGAAGCUACAGUCAUUCAUUUACACUUCAGUUAUUCAUGUAUUUAUUAAUAUAAUUUAAAUGACUCAGUCUCACCUUAAAUCUUCUACUUUGAAGGAUUUGUAAAUGAUUUCAGGUUCUAUUUAAACUGACAUUGAUCCCCAGAGAAGAUGCUGAAGCUUCUGCUGCUUAAAAUGAAACAUUUCCACGCUUAUGCAGUUCCACUUUUACAUAGCUGGGAUUUGUCAAGAAAAGAUGUGCUGCUUUGGAAAAAAGAACCUCUUACAUAACAGGCUGUGCUUUCUGUUGUUGUGUUACAGCAACCCCUUGUGGACAUAGAGGUAUUAUGUUCUCCUUUAUCCAGUUGUAGUGUCUAAAUGUGGGUCAUGCUCAAUUUUUUUGGUUUAAAAAAAUAGACAGAGUUUGGUCCAUGUUGACAUGAUGGCAUGUCAAGUUGCUGCACAUCCUUGAUGCCAAUCUCCCUUUCCACCACAUCCCAAAGGUGCUCUAUUGGGUUGAGAUCUGUGGAGGUCGUUUAAAUCCAGUGAACUUAUCGUUUUGUUCAAGAAACUAGUCUGAGAUGACAUUGUGCCUUAUCUUGCUGGAAGUAGCCAUCAGAAGAUGGAACACUUUGGACAUGGUCAGCAACAGUACUCAUGUAGGCUGUGGUGUUGGAACCAUGCUCAGCUGGUACUAAGGGGCCCAAAGUAUGCCAAGAAAAUAUCCCCCACACCAUGACACCACCACCAGCCUAGACCAUUGAUACAAGGCAGGAUGGAUCUAUGCUUUCAUGUUGUUGGCAUCAAAUUCUGACCCUAACAUCCAAAUGUGGCAGCAGAAAUGGAGACUCGUCAGACCGGACUAAGUUUUUCCAUCUUCUAUUGUCUAGUUUUGGGGAGCCUGGGUGAUUUGUAGCCUUAGUUUCCUGUUUUUAGUAGACAGGAGUGGCACCCGGUGUGGUCUUCUGCUGCUGUAGUCCUUCUGCCUCAAGUUUUGAUGUGUUGUGCGUUCAGAGAUGUUCUUCUGCAGACCUAAAUAUUUUCUCUUUUCGGACCAUUCUCUGUAAACCCUAGAGAUGGUUGUGGGUUAAAAUCCCAGUAGAUAGCAGUUUCAGAAAUCCUCAGACCAGCCUGUCAGGGACCAACAACCAUGCCACGUCCAAGGUCAUUUCAAUCACCUUUCUUCCUCAUUCUGAUGCUCUGUUUGAACAGCAGCAGAUUGUCUGGACCAUGUCCACAGGCCUAAAUGCAUUGAGUUGCUACCAUGUGAUUGGCUGAUUAGAAAUUAGCAUUAACGAGCAGUAAGACAGUAGGGUUGGGCUGAUAAAAUUGAUUAAUCGAUCUGAAUCAAUCCAAUUGUAAUAAAUCAAUAUAAAUCAUUAAUCGAUCCAUAAAAGUAGGGAUUGAUCUUUUAUGCCUUUCUUUUUCUGGUGACCUAACGCAUACCAGCAGUAAAGCCGAAGUCAGCUAGCUUGAUGCUAAGUAUAAUGGAAUUUUCCGUAGAAUGGCUAAUGCUAGCGCUUGUUCAACUGUAGUGUACAUUGCUGACUAUAUGAACAGCCUUAUAUACUCACAGGCAUGCAUUUUCCAUAUACAUUUUUUUUAAAGUAACCAUUUGUGGUCAAAUCUUCUAGAAUGAAGUGUAAUGUGCCAUAAGGCAAGCUCCACCUAGAGGCCAAACUGAAACGCCUCCAAGAGAGGCAUAUUAGCUAGUUUAGAGCCUUUACAAUGUUAGUGAUCUGCACAUUUUUGUUGGAGCUUCUCCGUUUAAGAAACCAUAUAACACUGUAUGGUGUUAACAAUCACAUUGGUUUAUUAUUUCACUAAUCAUUAUUAUAGCAUGUGAACUGUAUAAGAUUAUUAUGAAUAUCUUCAAAACUUAUAGAUUAUUAUUGUAUUUCUAUAAAAAUAUGACUAAAUGUUUAAUUUAAUUAAAUCGAAUUGAUUCAUGCUCUGGUGAAUUAAAUUGAAGUUAUUCUGGAAAUUAUUGGUGAUAGCCAGCCCUAGUGGCCAGUGAGUGUUCAUUCUAAAAAUAUGAGCCUUUGACAUUUUCAGCAGCUCUUUGUGCUGAAACUCAGCUUGCCUACCACAAGAGGGAGACAUUCUCACAUAUCAGGGUUCUGCAACCUGCAUCUCUGGAGCCACAUGCAUAGUGUUAUUUUUUUUUAAUAAAAUAGAUAAAUAAAAGGAUUUCAUUUUGAAAAGUAUCUGCUAAGUAAAGAAAAAAAAAGUAAUCUAACUCAAACUGUGUUUAACCCUUUCACAACAGUAGCACAGGAUGCAUCACAGAUUAAAAAAAAAAAACAUUUUUACAGAUUUUUGUCUGUCGUGUACCAAUGAAAAUCAAUUGAAGGAAACUGAACACAACUAGAAUCAAAGUGCACCAGACUAUUAGGCAGUUUAUAUAUAUAUAUAUAUAUAUAUAUAUAUAUAACAAAUUUAAGGAUUUUAAGUCCACCUUGUGGUUCAAAAAAUUAGGUUGAGGUAACGUAAUUAGCUCUGGUUUAAUUAUUGGAUAGUGGGACACUUUUUUGAAUUAGAUGUAAUCAAAAUGGUAAAAUAAACUAUGUGUUUUGGUUAUUUUUAAUCACUGUAAAGUACCUAGUGCUACAUUUAAUGAAUUCGGAUUAUCCUAUGUGACAAAGGGUGUCUUAUAUUUUGAAAGGAAGUCACAUGAACCUCUGUUAGAAGUUGUUAACUACUGUAUUUUAUUUUGGAAAAAAAUAUAGUAUUUUCCUCUUGAUGUUUGUGGUUUCUCUAUGCCAAAAAAACAUCAGUGUCUUGAUUUUUCUGAAGGGUGAAGUACGAAUUUCUGUUUCUUACUGGGUUGUGGCCAGUAAGAAAUCCACCCAAACGGGAUUUCAGACAACUGUCACAUAUGAAUGAGCUUCUUGGUCCAUGCACACAUCCUGUCAGAGAGUGUGCUUUACCACUCGGGUGAUUCAUAAUUUCAAAUUCCAGUGUGACUCUUUGAUUUUCCAAGAACGUCCAGAGAAGGAGACGAGGCUGUUGGCCCUUCCCAGCGUCUGAUCGAGGACAUAGAAACCGUCCUUUGUGGUAGACAAUGUAGAAGAGGUCAGCUGUGGCUUUACCAUGUCAGUUAUGGAAGAUUAAAUUAAUACUUAUUGCUCUUGGAACACAGUGUAAAUGUUAAGAUAUGUUAGGAAUCUUUGGGUUUUCCAUGUGAAGUUCAGGAUGUACGCUAAGUAUCCGUGGGAGCUGCUAACAGACAGCUGAGCUGUGAAAAAUGAGCGGCUGGCUUAAUAUUCUUGCUCUGUUUGGUCCGUUGGUGUGGACCGGGGUGCUCAUCAGGAAGUCUUGUUCGAAAAAAACGUUUUAUUUUGAAAAGUGACCGGAUUCUCUCUGUUACAUCCGUCACACUUAACGCAC